CCUCAGUGUUCUCCACGGGGAGCACGAAGGACCUGACCUGGACAAGGACCCUGGAUGGACACUCCUCUCCCACAGCUUCCGGCCUCUGCUCUGUGGACAAAGGAGGGCUUGUUUCUUCUCCUCCUCCUGCAAGUUUGGAGCUUUAUGAUCCAAGGAGCCAUAAAUUGUCAUGAGAUCUGUAAGAUAAUUAUACUUUAGUAGGCCACCUCGAUAAUGAGAACACAAAGUGGAGAAGCAUUAAAAUCUGACGCCAUCCCCGACAUGAACUCCCUGGCCUUCAAGAAGGCAGGACCUGAGGAGCCUUUUGAAGGAACAGGCAGUUCAACUUUGGGUGAAGACACCUUAUCCUUCUGAGUGAAAUGAGAAGACUGAGAAGACUUGAGAAAUCCUUCUCCAAUACAGCAUGAAGAAUUAGAUUUUCAUUUUUAAAGUUUGUAUUUAAGUCCUAAAUUUGAUAUAUCCUCAUGAAAUUCUCCCAGGCACUGCUUUCCCCAGUAUCUCCUUAAGAUAUCUAGGCUCCCUCAUAGUGGGCCCAUAUCUUAAAUUUAAAAGCAAAAUAAACUUCUAAGCACUUCCUUAAAGAUUAUAUUCUAAAACCAGUGAGAUGAUUAGAAGUAAGAGAACUUACAAAUGCUAUCAGUUAAUGAAGGAUGUCCAUGUAGCAGGGAAUAUACAUUUUUAAAAUUCUCACUAAUCAGCCCAAGGAACAGUCUAACAUCAAAGUGUAUCUUAUGAUGUAAAUGGAAAACGCUGCAGGUUAGCUAACAAGCUAUGAUAAGGACAGGAAACACAUCUGCACAUUAAAAAUUUACACCAAGAUCAAAAUACAUUUUACAACCAAACUUUCUGUGCUAUUAACUUCUGCUACCAAGAGUCACUACAAUUAGCCUGGUUCAAACUGAUUAAAAGGAUGGCUCCUAUAAUUCAUAUUGUAAUGCCUUCAUUAUAAUGUGAGAGGGGAAAAUAAUCUGGAGUCUAAGAAGCAAUGACUAUAAUAUAUGAGGAAAAUCUCCUUAUUAUGAAUAUCUUUUAAGAAUCCCAACAUUCAACACUUGAUAAGAACUGAAGAUAUAAUUUUUCUAACAGCAUCAAGAAACAUGCUGCAUCUCAGUGAUUCUUUUUCGGGAAAUGUAAAAUAGUUUUAACUCUAAAAUUUCAGACUCAAAUUGUUUUUAGAAAUAAUCUGAGUAACACUGCUACUUGAAAUAGAAUCAGAGGAAAAACUAAAGGGUCUGAAAAAAAUCCAUCAGUCAAACAGAAACGGGUCAAAGGAUCAGAAAGAAUUAUUAAUUUUCCACCCAGUAGUUUGCCAAUUCACCAAGUGCAACCCCUGUGUGAAACAAAAUUAAACUGAGCAUCUGGCAAAGGAAAAUUUUAGGUAGAAGACAAUCAGUACUUAGAAAAAGACAUUUGGUUUAGUUCUAUCACAGGAAACAGCACAUGAAGAAAAGUUUCAUUGUAAGAUGGCUUUGUUUGUUCACGCUGUCCCUCAACAGUGUAACAUUUCUGGUUUUUCCACUGGGGUAUUCUGAUAGGAAGACAGGUGAAGCUCCUUCAUCAGAUACACAACAGUUUCUCUAAGGCUCACACUUAGGAGGUCUGAAUGUUCAGUCAUGCUGGCCUUCUACAAAUAAUAGGCAUCAUUUACUCAGAUUAUUUCUCCAACUUUGCUGUUACAGAAUAAACAGCCAACUCUAUCAAAGGUCUCCAGGCUGGCAGCUGGUGAGGUAGCUUAAGUUAUUCAUUAAGCAGAUUUUCCUCUGCAGUGUUUACCAAGCAGACUUCCUACUCUAAAGCUUGCUUAUCCAAGAAAUCAAAUAGAAUGAACCCAUUAAGUUUAAGAAUGAUAAUGUGAAAAUAGCAGCUUUUUAAAUAAAUGUGUGAAUGUAGGAAAAACUUAA